UGUGACCUCAAAUCAGGUAGGACUACCCGCUGAACUUAAGCAUAUCAAUAAGCGGAGGAAAAGAAACUAACAAGGAUUCCCCUAGUAACUGCGAGUGAAGCGGGAAAAGCUCAAAUUUAAAAUCUGGCGGUCUUCUGGCUGUCCGAGUUGUAAUCUAGAGAAGUGUUAUCCGCGC
rnacentral:rRNA from 1 species